UACGGAGGAUGCGAGCGUUAUCCGGAUUUAUUGGGUUUAAAGGGUGCGUAGGCGGACGCUUAAGUCAGCGGUAAAAUUGCGGGGCUCAACCUCGUCGAGCCGUCGAAACUGGGUGCCUUGAGUGGGCGAGAAGUACGCGGAAUGCGUGGUGUAGCGGUGAAAUGCAUAGAUAUCACGCAGAACUCCGAUUGCGAAGGCAGCGUACCGGCGCCCAACUGACGCUGAAGCACGAAGGCGUGGGUAUCGAACAGG
rnacentral:rRNA from 1 species